GAUGAACGCUGGCGGCGUGCCUAAUACAUGCAAGUCGAGCGAACGGACGAGAAGCUUGCUUCUCUGAUGUUAGCGGCGGACGGGUGAGUAACACGUGGAUACCCUACCUAUAAGACUGGGAUAACUUCGGGAAACCGGAGCUAAUACCGGAUAAUAUUUUGAACCGCAUGGUUCAAAAGUGAAAGACGGUCUUGCUGUCACUUAUAGAUGGAUCCGCGCUGCAUUAGCUAGUUGGUAAGGUAACGGCUUACCAAGGCAACGAUGCAUAGCCGACCUGAGAGGGUGAUCGGCCACACUGGAACUGAGACACGGUCCAGACUCCUACGGGAGGCAGCAGUAGGGAAUCUUCCGCAAAGGGCGAAAGCCUGACGGAGCAACGCCGCGUGAGUGAUGAAGGUCUUCGGAUCGUAAAACUCUGUUAUUAGGGAAGAACAUAUGUGUAAGUAACUGUGCACAUCUUGACGGUACCUAAUUAGAAAGCCACGGCUAACUACGUG
rnacentral:rRNA from 1 species